UACGGGGGGGGCAAGCGUUGUUCGGAAUUACUGGGCGUAAAGCGCGCGUAGGCGGCGAGGCAAGUUGGAUGUGAAAGCCCUGGGCUCAACCUAGGAUGUGCAUACAAAACUGCCUCGCUUGAAUCUCGGAGGGGGUCAGGGAAUUCCCGGUGUAGAGGUGAAAUUCGUAGAUAUCGAGAGGAACACCGGUGGCGAAGGCGGCCUUCUGGACAGUGACUGACGCUGAGACGCGAAAGCGUGGGGAGCAAACAGG
rnacentral:rRNA from 1 species